UAUGAUCGUGAGCAACACGAUAAAAAUCGAUACGUGACUGUACUUAUAAAGAAAAAGACAGCCUGAGACUUGGACAAAGUCACUGAAACUGUAAAAAUAUAUUUCAAAAACUCAUACGGAAGGAGAUGUUGAUUUCAAAGAGAAAUGAGCAACGACAUCCCACCGGAAUCCUAUCAUCCUCUGCCUCAGGGUUAUCCAUGGGCGCCUCCGCCGCAUCAAGAAGGAAAUCCUCCACCACCGCCGCCUUCGCGUGAUCAUGAAACCUGUUGAUGGUGGGUUUGCAACCCUCACUUAUCUCUUCACAAAUCUGUAUCAGCUCUCAAUAGCAAAAGAAGAAGCCUGGCGUAAAAGGUAAAACUUUGUAAUCAAGUUUAACUAACUUGGUGGCAAAGCCAUUCCACUAUAAAUAUAACUCUCACUCUUCACAAAAAGAGGACAGGAUUCACUUCCUCAUUUCUACACAAUACAAGAGAGAGAAACACUGAGUAGUUUUAGAGAGGUCUUUCUAGAAAAUCCAGAAAACCAUUCGUCUGACGCGACGCCACGCCGACGCCGACGUACCGAACCGACACCGUAGUGAGUCACUACCGAACCGGCACCGUCAACGUCGCACCAUCAUCGUCUACGAAUGGUUUGAUCUCUCUUAAAAGAGUACGUAGGCAACAUUUCACAAAGUGCAGCUAUAACAUAAAAACCACCUUUUUCUCCUUGCCAUCGCUAGGUACAACUUCAUUAACAAGAUUCUCGGAGCUCCGUAUCUUACAUGGGUUAUCGUAAUCCAUGUUUGACCAUUUAUCAUAUUUGUUGACCAUACCGAAUUUGGACUUUAACAAAACCCAAUAUCAAUUCUACUUUGUCGGUAAUUAUCGUUAUCCGGGACGAACUCCUCCCACACAGCCGCUUAAACUCUACAAACAUUACCAGCAAGAUCAUUACCAGGAUUCUAACUCUGGUGGCUCCUCUUUCCUCCGUGGCUGUCUCGCUGCUUUGUGCUGUUGCUGUGUGUUGGACUGUUUCUGAGAAUGCCCUUCCGGAUCUCUUGUUUUUGUCACUUACAGUCGCAGUUUACACGUUAAAUGGACUACAACACAUGCCUUAACUCUCUGUUGUUAUAUAUGUUCUGUCAUGCUGUCGAUGCUGUACCUCUUUGUUUGAAAGUCUAAUCUAAAACAUUGAUUAGACGAACAGGUUCUCUGUGUAUGUUCUUUGUAAUUUGUCCAAAUUAUUUGAAAAGAAAUUUUACUUUGUUUGA